rnacentral:rRNA from 1 species
UACGUAGGGGGCGAGCGUUGUCCGGAGUUACUGGGCGUAAAGGGCAUGCAGGCGGUCGGACGCGUUUUGUGUGACAGCGGAUGGCUUACCUAUCCGAGCAUACGAAAGACGGUUUGACUUGAGGACUCGAGAGGGACACGGAAUUCCGGGUGGAGUGGUGAAAUGCGUAGAGAUCCGGAGGAACACCGAAGGCGAAGGCAGUGUCCUGGCGAGUGACUGACGCUGAGGUGCGAAAGCCAGGGGAGCGAACGGG